rnacentral:rRNA from 1 species
AGAAUCAACGCUGGCGGCGUGCCUAACACAUGCAAGUCGAACGAGAAAGUGGAGCAAUCCAUGAGUAAAGUGGCGCACGGGUGAGUAACACGUGACUAACCUACCCUUGAGUGGGGGAUAACCUAGAGAAAUCUGGGCUAAUACCGCAUAAUACCUUCGGGUCAAAGGAGCAAUUCGCUUAAGGAGGGGGUCGCGGCCGAUUAGUUAGUUGGCGGGGUAAUGGCCCACCAAGACUAUGAUCGGUAUCCGGCCUGAGAGGGCGCACGGACACACUGGAACUGAAACACGGUCCAGACUCCUACGGGAGGCAGCAGUGGGGAAUUUUGCGCAAUGGGGGAAACCCUGACGCAGCAACGCCGCGUGGAGGAUGAAGUCCCUUGGGACGUAAACUCCUUUCGAUCGGGACGAUUAUGACGGUACCGGAAGAAGAAGCCCCGGCUAACUCGUGCCAGCAGCCGC